GGCUUCUGCCCCCCAGGGCUAAAUGAUUGUGGACAUUUGACAAAGGUUAGAAUUACCUGCUGUGGGCAGGGACCUUGGUCAUAAUCCUGUCAUUUUCCAGAUAGAAAUGACUGACUGCGUCAUGGAAUUAUCUACAGCUAUGUGACUUUGGGGACUUGCUUCCUUUCUCUGGGCCUCAGUUUCUCCUUCGACAAACCAGGAAUAAUUCCUAAGUUUCUUUCCAGGAUUGAACAGAUAAAUAAAUGUGGUGAUGUUGAUGGAAGCCAGAGUUUUCACUGUGAUAAAACGGAAUAUGGAAGGAGGGAAGACAAAGAAAACCUUACAGGGUUAGAUUGGAAUUGGAGAUAUCAGUAGGAACAGGUAUUUCCUGUGUCUGUUGAAAGUGCAAGACGCAGUGACACCUCAGGAAUAACGAGCAUACUUAAAGCCUAGACGUUGGUUUCUAAAUGUCAUUCUGUACUAAAAGGAAGCAGGGCAAAUUGAAGAUAUGGCUCAGUCCAGGACUGGGACAGGGAAGAUAUAAGAUGAGCCUGGAACAUCUUAUUGUCUAGGAAGUGCUCAAAAAAUAAAAAUGGAGGCAUGUUAAAAGGACAGAGGAGCCAGCUUGAAGGGACUCCCAUUGUAUGCAUAUGGGACAAUUUCAGCAUCCAACAUUAAGAAGCAUAAUGGACUAUAACACAGUGAAUGAAAUAGGAAUCCAUGAAUGCAUACUGAUAAAUAAUAGGUAAACAAACAAAUAAACGAAGAAGAAAGGAAGGCUCUUCCUAACUGAUGCCAACUGAUAAAUGUGGAGAGAAUGGUGAAUCUGGGAAAACACUAUUUGCAACCAUCACAGAACAGAUUGUUUUAGGAAAGAUUUAUCAAUGGAGACCAAAUCUAGGGAGAAAAGUUUGGUGAGAAACGAAUAUUUGCAUCGUUCCAAACUGUUUCCACACAGAUUGCUUAUUCAUUGCAAGGGGAAAAUAGUUAUUCCACAGUGGAGAAAUUGGACAACACUUUACCUGGUGAUAAAAAUUAACAUCACUAACGUGUGGCAGAUGGACAAGGUGCCUUCAGAUAUGACACCCUAAGAAGGAUGCAUCAUGUAUGUGAUAUUCCAACUGGGCAUAUAUUACCUGAAUGGACUUAAGAGGAAAUAUCAGAUGUGACAAGUA
rnacentral:lncRNA from 1 species